rnacentral:rRNA from 1 species
CCUACGGGAGGCAGCAGUGAGGAAUAUUGGUCAAUGGACGAGAGUCUGAACCAGCCAAGUAGCGUGAAGGAUGACUGCCCUAUGGGUUGUAAACUUCUUUUGUCAAGGGACAAAAUCAGGCUCGAGAGCCUGACCGAGGGUACUUGAAGAAAAAGCAUCGGCUAACUCCGUGCCAGCAGCCGCGGUAAUACGGAGGAUGCGAGCGUUAUCCGGAUUUAUUGGGUUUAAAGGGUGCGUAGGCGGGCUGUUAAGUCAGCGGUAAAAGCCCGGGGCUCAACCCCGGCGAGCCGUUGAAACUGGCUGUAUUGAGAUGUCGAGAGGUAUGCGGAAUGCGCAGUGUAGCGGUGAAAUGCUUAGAUAUUGCGCAGAACUCCGAUUGCGAAGGCAGCAUACCGGCGGCGAUCUGACGCUGAGGCACGAAAGCGUGGGUAUCGAACAGGAUUAGAUACCCCGGUAGUC